GCACGCCGCGUGAGUGAAGAAGGGUUUCGGCUCGUAAAGCUCUGUUGUUAAAGAAGAACGUGGGUGAGAGUAACUGUUCACCCAGUGACGGUAUUUAACCAGAAAGCCACGGCUAACUACGUGCCAGCAGCCGCGGUAAUACGUAGGUGGCAAGCGUUAUCCGGAUUUAUUGGGCGUAAAGCGAGCGCAGGCGGUCUUUUAAGUCUAAUGUGAAAGCCUUCGGCUCAACCGAAGAAGUGCAUUGGAAACUGGGAGACUUGAGUGCAGAAGAGGAUAGUGGAACUCCAUGUGUAGCGGUGAAAUGCGUAGAUAUAUGGAAGAACACCAGUGGCGAAGGCGGCUGUCUGGUCUGUAACUGACGCUGAGGCUCGAAAGCAUGGGUAGCGAACAGGAUUAGAUACCCCGGUAGCA
rnacentral:rRNA from 1 species